rnacentral:tRNA from 1 species
GGAGGGGUACCCGAGCGGCCAAAGGGGGCAGACUGUAAAUCUGCUGGCGAACGCCUACGGAGGUUCGAAUCCUCCCCCCUCCACCA